GCGGCGGGGCUCCUCCUAGAGGAAAAUAUUGGUAGUUGCGGGAGACCUCCCUCCUCUCCACCCACCGGGUUCCCCCAAAGAAGUAUCUAGAAGUCCUCAACUUCUGUACAUUCAAAGAGAGCAGUGCACCUCCUGCAGGUAUGGGAAGAAGUCCCUUGGAAAGUGUGAUGAGUCUACUAGAUUUUACCGGUCUAGUUGGUUUUCAAGCUCCUGCUCACUGGGAUUCAGCAUAAAGGACAUUCCCAGUCCGAGAGGUUAAAAAAAAAUGAAGACAAAGCAGGUGAUUUACCAAGAAUGCAUUCCUGUUUGAAGAGAGCUAUGCUAAUACGGGACAUAGGUCUGCAGGGAGGGCAGGAAUAGGACCCAGCCUGAGGUUCGUCCUUGUUUGUGACCUAGGGAAAGGCACCAUUUGUCCAUCAGACACAGGCUCUUGGUACUUCAUUCCAUUUUGUUGAAAAAAAUUAACCAAGACGGGAGUUGUCAAAGCACUUCCCAAAGUCAGAGUGCUGUGUAAGUAUUGGCGUGAAGCACCAGACUGCCAACAACCACUUGCUUCUCCAGGCACAGAGUACAAAGGUACAAAAGUCCAGCCCCGGGCCGUCGAGCUGUCUCAUCUGGAGGAACAACGGGUCACGUGGUCUUCUUACUAUUUGCUUUGUACUGACAGCUAGUUGUAAGUUCACUUAUCUAUAACCUUCCGAACAGCUUCCCUCAGCUUUAAAAAGGACCCCAUCCCCUCUUUUCACUUGCUUUCAGACCCAGAGUCACAGUUAAAUGUUUAAGCACUGCAAAAGAAUAAAUUAACAGUUCCACACUAAGGAUGGGCGGGGUGAAAACUGUAGAAAGAGGACCCCAGUCUUUAGGACUUCCGUUUUCAAAGUAACCGUGCAAUUGGAAACUUUCUUAGCAUUCUUUCUCGUGAGCCCAGCUGUGUCUUAUGGUUCUAGAAUACAGAAAGGGGGAAGAGAUUCUGGAGAUGAUUAUGUAUCAUGUCUGUUCCAGUUAGGUGUAGAGGGUGGGAUGGUUAGUGGCCCUGAAGCAGUCCUGUUUCACAGGCAGGCUUUCUCUGAGACACUCUCCCUCAAUCCCUUGAUUUUCAUGCUCGGAUGAAGCAGUAGAGGUGCUUACUGACUGGAGCUUUUAAAGGGAGAGUUGCCCAGAUAGAGAAACCUGAGAAAGGAAACCAUGAGGUCAGGCAAAACUCCUGCUGGGUGGUCUGUGCUUGCCAAACUGGCUGAAAGGGCAGUACUGACAGGCGUGGAGACCAGGCAGUCCUCGCAUGCUGGCUCCACUCUGUCCGAGGUAACCUUCCACCAGUGCACCUUGGAUUCUGACGGAAUCAUCCCAUCUCCUUACGUCCCCUUUGUGCUCCCUCCUCUUCAACUUCCCCUCCUUCCGAGCCCAAAGAACCUUGAUUUAGGCUCCUAGUUUAGUUCCUUGAUCUAGAACCUAGUCUAGGAGACAGACUCAUGGGAGAUGUUCUGAUCAUGCUCCAAGCUGAUUUCAGGGUCAUGCUUAAACAAAAGCUUGCCCUUAUGUUGCUCUGGCUUCAAAUACAGCCUCCGUUCCGUUAGACAUGGAAACAGAUUUCUCUAGACAGAAAUGCGAUCACGCAUAGACAGCGUAUGAAAAGAUACGCUGGCUUGUGUGUGUAAUAAAGAAAUAGGUUGCGAUGUAACUUGGCAGGGUCUAGUAUGGCCCAGGAGACAAAUCUCUGGGCAUUUUGUGAGAGACAUCCUAGUUUGAGCUGAGUAAGGUGGACAGCACCAUUGUAAGGCUGAGAGCUUGGGCUGAAAAACAAAACAAAACAAAACAAAACAAAACAAAAAAACAAGAGAGAGAGAGAGAGAGAGAGAGAGAGAGAGAGAGAGAGAGAGAAGCUCAACAAUGGUGUUUUUUUCUCUCUGCUUCCUGACUGUGGACACAUCUGUUCAGCUGCUCUGCUCUUCUGCAGCCUGUCCUCCCCACCAUGAUGAACAAAUCCUCUUCAAUUCCAAGUCAAAAUAAAUGAGAGAUGGAGAGAUGUUUCAGCGACUAAGGUAGUUACUGUGCAAGCCCUAGGACCUGGGUCCACAGCACCCAAAAACAAUAGUGAAGAGAGCUUGGUGGCUUGCAGGUGCACAGUCAGCACCCGGGAGGCAAAGACAGGCAGCAACCUGGAGCUCACUGGUCAGUCAUGGUAAUUAGAGACUCCUAGAUCCCUUUGGGAGGCACUGUCUCAAAAUAACUGAGAAGAUGAAGAGAGGACAUCUGGGCAAAGACAUCUGAGGUCGACCUCUGGCCUUCGCAAACAUGAGCAUAAGAUCUGUGACAAAGAUGAAAUUAUCCUCCUUUAACCAACAGGAAGUCAUGAAGAGACACAAAAACAAACACAGCAACAACAACAACAACAACAAAAACCAGACUGAUCACAUAAAGGGAAAAAAUUUAGAGUCCGGAUGGGGACUCAGCUUUUUUGUAUCACCUUUAUUUUGGGGACUCUUCCUUCAGUCUCUCAAGGUCUUGGCAUCUAGUAUUGUGUCCACCUCAUUUCAAGCCACCAGCCCACCAGCCUCUAUGUGUGGCAAGAACUAAAAUUGUCCUCUAAUUCCUAGGCACCAAAGUAACUAACAGUAGUGACCAGGGGGGACAGGAGAGAUUCCUCUAUUUUGCCUUUAGUAGUACAGGUCUUGUGCAGGCAACCCACACAGGUACAGACAGAAACUAAUUAUCAUAGUCUCCAUAUUUGUUAAGUUUGAGCUAGUGAGUUGUGGAGAAUGUGUUUCAUCAUCUUGCUUUGAGAAAUAAACAUUCAUAAU